GGCAUCUGUCCUAACAUUAGAGAGAGGGUUAGGGCUUUGACUAAAGAAUCCAGGUUAUGCCAUGCAUAUCCUUUUGGGAGGGGAGAGUACACUAGUAGAAAAACAUAAAUGAGCACCGCAAAACAAAACCGGUGCGAAAAAAAUAGGCGGGGUUGAGGGAAAGAGUAAUCUCACCUAUUCAAACCAAACUGGUGCGAAAAAGAGUAAAUCGCGGCGGUUCUAACUGAACCGGUGCAACUGUUAAUGUUAAAAUAAAAAGAACUCGGCCUUUUAUCUUCUUUCUUUCUCUUUCCUCAAAUCUCUCCUCUUCUCUCAUCUACCUCUCUCUCAUGUAUAACAAUGGAGGCUCUUUCCUCAAACUCCUUCUCUCUCCUUCGAUCUCCUUGGCCUUCUCCAUAACCGCCACUUUCCCUUUUCUUUUCUCUUUUCUUCGAUCUCCUUCUCCCUAACUACGGCGCAAGCAACGCCGCUCUCGUUCUCCUUCUCAGUCUGAAAUCGGCGUCAUUAGAACCAAGCACAACCACCAUCGCCGCCGCCGUCAAUUUGAACCAAAUACAACAACAACAACAACAAACUUGAAUCAAUUAUCGAUUCAAAAAUCACAAAUUCGAGAUUUAUUGAUUAUU